CAAGUCGAACGAUGAAGUUCCUUCGGGAAUGGAUUAGUGGCGAACGGGUGAGGAACACGUGAGAAACCUGCCUUUCAUUUUGGGAUAACUCCGGGAAACCGGAGCUAACACCGAAUACUCCGUCUCGGCGGCAUCGCUGAGCCGGGAAAAAAUUUUGAUGAAAGAUGGUCUCGCGGCCUAUCAGCUAGUUGGUGAGGUAAUGGCUCACCAAGGCGACGACGGGUAGCCGGCCUGAGAGGGCGACCGGCCACACUGGGACUGAGACACGGCCCAGACUCCUACGGGAGGCAGCAGUGGGGAAUAUUGGGCAAUGGGCGCAAGCCUGACCCAGCGACGCCGCGUGAGGGAUGAAGGCCUUCGGGUUGUAAACCUCUUUCAGUAGGGAAGAAGCGAAAGUGACGGUACCUAAAGAAGAAGCACCGGCUAACUAUGUGCCAGCAGCCGCGGUAAUACAUAGGGUGCAAGCGUUGUCCGGAAUUAUUGGGCGUAAAGAGCUCGUAGGUCGUUUGCCACGUCGAUUGUGAAAAUCUGAGGCUCAACCUCAGACCUGCAGUCGAUACGGGCAAACUAGAGUGUGGUAGGGGAGACUGGAAUUCCUGGUGUAGCGGUGGAAUGCGCAGAUAUCAGGAGGAACACCAAUGGCGAAGGCAGGUCUCUGGGCCAUAACUGACACUGAGGAGCGAAAGCGCGGGGAGCGAACAGGAUUAGAUACCCUGGUAGUCCGCGCCGUAAACGAUGGGCACUAGCUGUGAGAACCUUCCACGGUUUUCGCGACGCAGCAAACGCAUUAAGUGCCCCGCCUGGGGAGUACGAUCGCAAGAUUAAAACUCAAAGGAAUUGACGG
rnacentral:rRNA from 1 species